rnacentral:rRNA from 1 species
UACGUAGGGUGCAAGCGUUGUCCGGAAUUAUUGGGCGUAAAGAGCUCGUAGGCGGUCUGUCGCGUCUGGUGUGAAAAUCCAGGGCUUAACCCUGGACCUGCAUCGGGUACGGGCAGACUAGAGUGCGGUAGGGGAGAUCGGAAUUCCUGGUGUAGCGGUGAAAUGCGCAGAUAUCAGGAGGAACACCGGUGGCGAAGGCGGGUCCCUGGGCCGAUACUGACGCUGAGGAGCGAAAGCGUGGGGAGCAAACAGG